rnacentral:rRNA from 1 species
UGGGGAAUAUUGCACAAUGGGCGCAAGCCUGAUGCAGCCAUGCCGCGUGUGUGAAGAAGGCCUUCGGGUUGUAAAGCACUUUCAGCGGGGAGGAAGGCGAUAAGGUUAAUAACCUUGUCGAUUGACGUUACCCGCAGAAGAAGCACCGGCUAACUCCGUGCCAGCAGCCGCGGUAAUACGGAGGGUGCAAGCGUUAAUCGGAAUUACUGGGCGUAAAGCGCACGCAGGCGGUCUGUUAAGUCGGAUGUGAAAUCCCCGGGCUCAACCUGGGAACUGCAUUCGAAACUGGCAGGCUAGAGUCUUGUAGAGGGGGGUAGAAUUCCAGGUGUAGCGGUGAAAUGCGUAGAGAUCUGGAGGAAUACCGGUGGCGAAGGCGGCCCCCUGGACGAAGACUGACGCUCAGGUGCGAAAGCGUGGGGAGCAAACAGG